rnacentral:rRNA from 1 species
AGUGAACGCUGGCGGUAGGCCUAACACAUGCAAGUCGAACGGCAGCACAGUAAGAGCUUGCUCUUACGGGUGGCGAGUGGCGGACGGGUGAGGAAUACAUCGGAAUCUACUUUUUCGUGGGGGAUAACGUAGGGAAACUUACGCUAAUACCGCAUACGACCUACGGGUGAAAGCAGGGGAUCUUCGGACCUUGCGCGAUUGAAUGAGCCGAUGUCGGAUUAGCUAGUUGGCGGGGUAAAGACCCACCAAGGCGACGAUCCGUAGCAGGUCUGAGAGGAUGAUCAGCCACACUGGAACUGAGACACGGUCCAGACUCCUACGGGAGGCAGCAGUGGGGAAUAUUGGACAAUGGGCGCAAGCCUGAUCCAGCCAUACCGCGUGGGUGAAGAAGGCCUUCGGGUUGUAAAGCCCUUUUGUUGGGAAAGAAAAGCAGCAGGUUAAUACCCCGCUGUUCUGACGGUACCCAAAGAAUAAGCACCGGCUAACUUCGUG